rnacentral:rRNA from 1 species
GCUACUGCUCUUGGAGUUCGAUUAAAGCAUGCGAGUCAAGAGGUCUUCGGAUACUCGGCAUAAUGCUCAGUAACACGUGGAUAAUCUACCCUUAGGAGGGGCAUAAUCCCGGGAAACUGAGGCUAAUUCCCCAUAAGUCUGAUCUGCUGGAACGCUUUCAGGCUGAAACUUCCGGGCCUAAGGAUGAGUCUGCGGCCUAUCAGGUUGUAGUGGGUGUAAAGUACCCACUAGCCUUCGACGGGUAUGGGCCUUGAGAGAGGAAGCCCAGAGAUGGACUCUGAGACACGAGUCCAGGCCCUACGGGGCGCAGCAGCUGCGAAAACUUCGCAAUGUGGGAAACCACGACGAGGGAACUCCAAGUGCUAGCGCAAAGCGUUAGCUGUUCUUUUGCCUAAAAAGCAAAAGGAGAAAGGGCUGGGUAAGACCGGUGCCAGCCGCCGCGGUAAUACCGGCAGCUCGAGUGGUAGUCGUUUUUAUCGGGCUUAAAGCGUCCGUAGCCUGCUUAGUAAAUCCUUGGGUAAAUCGGCCAGCUUAACUGACCGAAUUCUGAUGAGACUGCUAAGCUUGGGACCGGGAGAAGUUAGAAGUACUCCUGGGGUAGGGGUGAAAUCCUGUAAUCCUGGGGUGACUACCAGUGGCGAAGGCGUCUAACUAGAACGGAUCCGACGGUGAGGGACGAAACCCUGGGGCACAAACGGGAUUAGAUACCCCGGUAGUCCAGGGCGUAAACGCUGCAGGCUUGGUGUUGGGAGUCCCACGAGGGCACUCAGUGCCGGAGUGAAAAUGUUAAGCCUGCCGCCUGGGGAGUACGGCCGCAAGGUUGAAACUUAA